rnacentral:tRNA from 1 species
GGGGUGUAGCGCAGCUUGGUAGCGCAUCCGCUUUGGGAGCGGAAGGCCGCAGGUUCAAAUCCUGUCACCCCGA